rnacentral:rRNA from 1 species
AACGAACGCUGGCGGCGUGCUUAAGACAUGCAAGUCGAACGGUAAGGCGAGUCACCUUCGGGUGAAUCGCACACGAGUGGCGCACGGGUGAGUAACGCGUGGGUAAUCUGCCUUCGGGUCCGGGACAACUCCGGGAAACUGGAGCUAAUACCGGAUAAGACCACGGGGCCUUCGGGCCCAGAGGGAAAAGAUGGCCUCUCCUUGGAAGCUAUCGCCCGUCGAUGAGCCCGCGCCCAUUAGCUUGUUGGUGAGGUAACGGCUCACCAAGGCUUCGAUGGGUAGCUGGUCUGAGAGGAUGAUCAGCCACACUGGAACUGAGACACGGUCCAGACUCCUACGGGAGGCAGCAGUCGGGAAUUUUGGGCAAUGGGCGAAAGCCUGACCCAGCAACGCCGCGUGAGGGAUGAAGGCCCUCGGGUCGUAAACCUCUGUCGGGAGGGAAGAACGGUAGCCGUUCGAAUAGGACGGCAGCCUGACGGUACCUCCAAAGGAAGCACCGGCUAACUCCGUG